GAAUAUGAGGGCGAUCUGGCCAUGAGAUCUGUUGCCCCAUUGAUCGCCAAGGUUGACGGGGUUGAUCUGGCUGGCUAGACAGGUGUUCCUUUCCUCCCUCAAUGCUCCACGUACGUCCCUCUUGAAGCUGUGCGCUAGGCCCCGAAGAGGACGACCACACCCCAUCCCCCACCCCGAUAGAGGGCCGUUCCUCAGUCAAGGGUAGGAGUAGCUGCGCUCCCCGGCUAGAACCUCCAAACAAGCUCUCAAAAAAGAUGCUCCUGAGACUCCAGCUGGAGUGCUGCACCAUUAAUCUCAGUGAAGGUUUCUAC
rnacentral:snRNA from 1 species